rnacentral:rRNA from 1 species
AUUGAACGCUGGCGGCAUGCCUUACACAUGCAAGUCGAACGGCAGCGGACCUUCGGGUGCCGGCGAGUGGCGAACGGGUGAGUAAUGCAUCGGAACGUGCCAUUGAGUGGGGGAUAACGUAGCGAAAGUUACGCUAAUACCGCAUAUUCUGUGAGCAGGAAAGCAGGGGACCGCAAGGCCUUGCGCUCUUUGAGCGGCCGAUGUCAGAUUAGCUAGUUGGUGAGGUAAGGCUUACCAAGGCGACGAUCUGUAGCGGGUCUGAGAGGAUGAUCCGCCACACUGGGACUGAGACACGGCCCAGACUCCUACGGGAGGCAGCAGUGGGGAAUUUUGGACAAUGGGCGCAAGCCUGAUCCAGCCAUGCCGCGUGAGUGAAGAAGGCCUU